rnacentral:rRNA from 1 species
CUGAAACAUCUCAGUACCCCGAGGAAAAGAAAUCAACCGAAAUUCCCCCAGUAGCGGCGAGCGAACGGGGAGCAGCCCAGAGUCAACAUCAAUAUUUAUUGUAGGAGAAGGGUCUGGAAAGGCCGGCAAUAAAGGGUGAUAGCCCCGUAUCUGAAACGGUAAGUGUUGUAAACUCGAAGAGUAGGGCGGGACACGUGUUAUACUGUCUGAAUAUGGGGGGACCAUCCUCCAAGGCUAAAUACUCCUGACUGACCGAUAGUAAACCAGUACCGUGAGGGAAAGGCGAAAAAAGCCACGGCGAGGGGAGUAAAAUAGAACCUGAAACCGUGUACGUACAAGCAGUGGGAGCACCCGAAAGGGUGUGACUGCGUACCUUUUGUAUAAUGGGUCAGCGACUUAUAUUCUGUA